CUUCCGAAAACGGAAUCUAGAGGUCAGCCUGCCAGUGACCGGUUCACGGCAGCGGUAUCCUAACCGUGCGAAGGUCGAUGUAAUCACUUGUUCUUUAAAUGUGGACUAGUAUGAACGGCAUCACGAAGGUUAUACUGUCUCCUUUUUCUAAUCAGUGAAACUAAUCUCCCCGUGAAGAAGCGAGGAUAAAAAUAUAAGACGAGAAGACCCUAUGGAGCUUUAAACAAAGUAGCACUCGCCACAUAAAUAAGAAAUUCCAGAAUCAUCAUUUACCUCAGGCAAUCUGACUACACGUUUUUGGUUGGGGUGACCGCGGAGCACAACACAACCUCCAUGUUGAAAGAAAGUUUUCUAAACUAAGAACUACACCUCUAAGUAUCAAAAAAUUGACAUCCAUUGACCCAAUAAAUUUGAACAACGAACCAAGUUACCCUAGGGAUAACAGCGCAAUCCACUUCAAGAGCCCCUAUCGACAAGUGGGUUUACGACCUCGAUGUUGGAUCAGGGUCUCCCAGUGGUGCAGCCGCUACUAAAGGUUCGUUUGUUCAACGAUUAAAACCCUACGUGAUCUGGGCUAGGACAGGAU
rnacentral:rRNA from 1 species